rnacentral:rRNA from 1 species
AAACUAGGAUUAGAUACCCUAUUAUUUAAGAGCUUAACAUUGUAAGUAAAUAAAGAUUAUGAAAGCAAAAAAUUAUGGCGGUAUUUUAAGCUUUUCAGAGGAAUUUGCUCUUUAAUGGAUAAAACACCUAAAUCUUACUUAAAUUUGUUAUGCACUUUGUAUACCACUAUAAAAACAAUUUAUAACUUUAAUUGUUGGUAUUUAUUUAAAUUAAAAUAUAUUAAGUCAAGGUGCAGUAAAAAUUUAAGGAUGAAGUGAAUUACAUUACUUUUUAGAGAUUAAGAAAAUUAAAAUAUAUUUAGGAUUUGAAAGUAAAAUUAAAAUAUAAUGUUAAUUUGAAUUAAGCUCUAAAAUAUGUACAUAUCGCCCGUCACUCUUUUACAAGAUAAGUCGUAACAUAG